AGCUUUGAGUUCGCAGCCUAACUUUAUAGGCUGAUGGCUGGUGACUUUUUAGUCAUCAGCCU
rfam:Yersinia pestis CO92 complete genome